UACGUAGGGGGCAAGCGUUGUCCGGAAUCAUUGGGCGUAAAGGGCGCGUAGGCGGGCUGUCAAGUCUGGGGUGAAAUGCUGCGGCUCAACCGUAGAACUGCCUUAGAUACUGACGGCCUCGAGGAAGGUAGGGGCAUGCGGAACUGUAGGUGGAGCGGUGAAAUGCGUAGAUAUCUGGAGGAACACCGGUGGCGAAGGCGGCAUUCUGGACCGACAUUGACGCUGAGGAGCGAAAGCCAGGGGAGCAAACGGG
rnacentral:rRNA from 1 species